rnacentral:rRNA from 1 species
UACGGGGGGAGCAAGCGUUGUUCGGAUUUACUGGGCGUAAAGGGCGCGUAGGCGGCCACCGCAAGUCGACUGUGAAAUCUCCGGGCUUAACCCGGAAAGGUCAGCCGAUACUGCGGGGCUAGAGUGCAGAAGGGGCAACUGGGAAUUCUCGGUGUAGCGGUGAAAUGCGUAGAUAUCGAGAGGAACACCUGCGGCGAAGGCGGGUUGCUGGGCUGACACGUGACGCUGAGGCGCGAAAGCUAGGGGAGCGAACGGG